CUGUUGAUGUGCAAAUGUGAAUCAUAUUGAGAAGGUCUGAAUAGGGAGGUGUGACGUAAGGAGGGCUACACACGCAGGUGCUUAUCUCUAAGCAGUCAAAGGCACUGGAUGUCAUAUCAUGGGAACUACCUUUCAAAGAAACAGCUUUAGUGUGUCCUUUCAGCACACAAGGGAGGAGAGAAAUAUAAGUUUUGGAAACACACAAAAAAACCCCAAAUUUUGUGAGAUUCCUUGAAGGACUGUAUCGAUUCCAUUUUAUGUGACUUCAUGCUCAUGUCAAGCCUAAGCUGAUCCAUGGGUAUGAAGUUCAAGGAUGAGAUCCAGGAUGCAGAGAUAAACAUUUGGAAGUGGUCGCCAAGGAAAAUAUAUGGAGUGAAAAAAGAACCAAGACUGGGGGCUGCAGGGAAUAGCAACAUUGAAUGAGAAGAUGCAGAAAGGGGAUUCAACAGAAAAGGAUUUAGAGGAGGCCGUAAGAAGCCAGGAAUAUCAUGAAAACAGACAUAAACAGUUUCUCAAAGAAAGACUGGGCAAUAGCGUUAACUGCUCAGAAAAUGACAGUUAGACAGGAUUCAAUACAUCAAAGAGGGCCUCACUGGUAGCCAGAGGAACUUCAGUGGCAUCAGGGGUUGGAAGCCAGAUGGCCAUGAGUUGUGUAGGGAAAGAAAAUGGGGUGGGGGGAGUGAGAAUUUUAAGAAGUUUGACUUUGAGGAAUAGAGGUAGCAAUACAGAGAGGAGAAAUAUAUUUAUAUGCUGAAAAGAAAGAAUUAAAAAAGGUAAGAAGUUGAAAAAUUUGAAAGGCUGUAUGUAGGAAAAAAAAAAGAAAACACCCUAAGGGACAGUGUAACAGAAGAAAAUAUAAGCAGACACCUAACCUUAGAAAGCAGGAGGUCACCUCUUCCUUCUCAAGCAGAGGAAAGGAAGAAGCAUGCGUGCAGGGAGACAGGGUGCAAGGGGAAGAAUGAGCUGCUAACAAGUUGAUUGUCUCAUAGAAGCCACCAAAAUCAGGUAGCAGAAGUCUAUAUUGACUCGGUAACAUGGCUUUAAAGUGUAAGUUCCUUCAACAUGUUAGUUUUUAUUAAUUAUUACAUUUUAUUAAAAAGAAGAGAUUCCAUCUAACUUUUAAAUUUUAUUUGUGAUUGAUAUUGGCACGAACUCAGAAGACAGCACAAGAAAACCAAAGAACCAGGGGAGGUAGGGAUUUUCCUCUUGGAUUUGAGCCGUCUUAAAAAAGAUGCAGGCAAUUAUGAGGGUUAAAGGGAAAGUGGAGACUCUUCUCCCAUCUGGAGCAGUCUGGAAGAAGGGACAUGAGGCUUGAGAGAGGGGAGACACUGGCUUUUCUCCAUAGAGGACACGUGUUGAUGAGUGGAGUGGGGAGUAAUGAGU
rnacentral:lncRNA from 1 species